AAUCAACGCUGGUGGCGUGCCUAACACAUGCAAGUCGAACGAGGAAAGUGGAGCAAUCCAUGAGUAAAGUGGCGCACGGGUGAGUAACACGUGACUAACCUACCCUUGAGUCGGGGAGUAACCUAGGGAAACCUGGGCUAAUACCGCACUAAUAUCGAGAGAUCAAAGGAGCAAUUCGCUUAAGGAGGGGUCGCGGCUGA
rnacentral:rRNA from 1 species